ACAAGAGAAGCCGGCCGGCCAUGGCGGAAACCCAAGGUUUUGGGUCUCGGCUCCGCUCGCCCUUCCCUCUCUCCUCGUCUCACUUAUGGCUGGAAACGCAGACAUUCAAUUCGUAUCCUCCUCCAUCAGGAUUCCUCUUCGCUCGCUAGGGCAGAACAUCGGGCCUACGCGGGAGGGACGAGGAGGAGCGGGUUUCAUCAGCGAGUUGCCGGGAGAGACGCUGGAACAGGCCGAUCUGAGGACCGCGCUACCGGAGCGCUGAAGUUCUCCGGCCGAAUUCGGUGCUCACAGUGUGGGAGGUGCAGGAGGACGUUCUCAGGAUUAUCCAUACCGGCUGUUCUCUUUGUGCGUCGCCUGUUGCCUUUGACAUUAGGGAUGGUAUCCGAUUGGUCUUUCAGUUUGUGCUCAAUGUGGAACAAGAGCUUCCUUGCCUUCCUGAGUGGUUGUGUUUCAACAAGGUUAGUGCUCAUGCUAGACAAGGCUAUGAACUUGGGUCUGCAUGUCUUAUGGUUAGGUAUCACUUCUUUGUUGUUCUGUUGGCAUGAAAAAUGUAAUUGAUAUGAGAUGAAUAUGAGCUUUCUUUGCAUUGUGACUGUGGAGAGCCAAAAUAUUUCAUUUUGGCGGGUACUAGUUUGGACAAGGGUUUGUCUUCUCUUCUACUUAUGUGAGUUGUAGCAUUUUAACUUGCUUUGCAAUUAUUUUUGGGUUACAACUUGAAUUUUUCAUUUACUUGAGCAAACCUUUUAUGCAGUUUCUUCACAAGGAAGAUAAUCUUGUCUUGUAUCUUUAAUCUUUAUAGUAACACUAAUGAAAUACACUCUAAGCUUCAUUUUUUAUAUGGCUACUUUAUUAAUGCAAUUGGGAAUUGCCUUCAAUUGUCAGUACUUAAGAUGGACUGUCUGUAGAUCAUUUUUAUGAACUUCUAUCGAUAUAUUUUUUCAAACAUCUUCUUUUCAAAACCUUUUACAUUUAUCCUUGAAUCAGAAAGAAUAAACAACAGGAUUAUGAAAUAUUUGGCAACUCAAAGACAUAAUUAUAAAAACAUCUAGUUUUGCAUUUUUUUUAUAAAGAUCUAAUUCUUUCUGGACUAAUCUGCUCUUGUGAAUCAUAGUGUUUCAGAGCCCGUGUGUUUGGUAACUUUUCAUCUCAUGAAGCAUUUGCUAUUGGUGGGUCAAACAGUGUCACAGGUUAUGAAGAAGGUGCAUAAGUUGUGGUUGUUCAUGUGCAGUUGGAUGCUGAGAAAUCUCCUUUGGAAUGGUGAUCCAGCUGAAGGGCGAAACCAGGCAAUGGAUCGGGUUAUGGGAUUGGUAUUCAUGUGGACUUCUCGUUGGGGCCUAUCUUCCUGGAGUAUGCAUUUGACGUUAAAAAUACGAGGAGGUUUCACUUUAAGAGUUGGAUAUCACCAGUAGCUGUUCUUGCAUGUUUGCUUCAAAAGAAUCUGUCACAUUGCAUAGGUCUGUCACUUUUAGUGUGUCUGUGGUUGUCCUUGCUUAAUGGUAUCUUGCUUUCCAAACAGCACAGCAACUUGCUACAUGGCUUUCUGGCAUAUGUGGCUGCAAGUUUAGAGAAUCUAGGGUAUGGAAAAGCCAUCAAACUUAUAGACCUUAUGACACAACGUGGGCAUGAACUGUUUGGUCUCGAGUUGAAAGAGAAGUUUGACAUACAGAGGAAACGGCGAGCAGAGUCUUUCUUGGCUUGGAAUUUUGACCAAUUAAAGCCUAUGAUAUAGGAUAUCAUAGUUUUCUCCAAAAAAUUUCCUUUUUGAUAACCUGACUUUUCAAGUGCUUGAAAUUACACUCAGGAAUACUGUGUAAUUGUGAAUAUGUUAUAUUGUAGCAUAUACUGAUCCUUUUUUAGUACCAUUUCAAGUCUCAUAAUAAACAUCAGCUUGCUUGUGAUUUCUUGGAACUCCUGAUCUUUAUCCUUGAAGACUACAUGAAUAUUACUCUUGAUCCUUUUGGGCUGCAAAAGUUGAAUGCAGAGAUUACUCAAGCUGCAGAAACUGCUUCAGAUGACGAUGAUGAGUCAAGGAAAGGUGUUCUGGCACUGUUGGCCACUUUGGUUUGUGUUCAGGUUUUGGACCCUCCACUAUAACCCAUGGCAGGACUUUGAAUGAGCUUUGCUAGUGCCAAAAGGAAAAGGAAAGAAAAUUAAGAGAGAAGUGGGGGCACUCAAGCCAAAUCCUUUGUGAAAGGGAAAGCCCGAUGAAUGAGCCGUUUACUAGCAAAGAAAGAAGAGGAGGAGGGUCUUUAGACAUUGUACCAUUCAUGCCUCUGUUCAAAUAAACCUUUGAGUUCUUUUCACUUUAUGUUGCAUGAAAAGUUACAUGUAGUUCAUGUGGCUAUCCAAUUCCACCACCAAAAGGAAAAGAGAAAGCAAAAGCUCGACAUCUUUAGUCUCAAGUUAAAAGUGUAUGUAUGGAUAUUUAGGUUGAUUUUUGUAGUUAAUUGAGUUUGUUUCUAUCAACUUCGGCUUAACAUUUGAAGUCGACGAUUUAAACUUA